rnacentral:lncRNA from 1 species
CCAAUUCACUAUCAAAAAAAAAGUUUACUUCUUGCCUACAUACUCUCCCAAAAGCUUUAUUUCUCUUCCGUUUCAAUCUUCUCCUAUUUUCCAGUUUAUUACAAUCAAAUCUUAUACCAAACAAUUUGAAGGUGGUCAACUUGUUGACUACGUGGGUGAAAAUAAUACCCAUUUUCAAUAUGAACUCAUAAAUGAUCAGAGUGUUGCACUUGGACGUGUUUGGUAUUCUGUCAACGGAGAAAUUAGUAAUAAUGUUCUCUGGGAGUAUCAAUGAGAAAAACACGGCCAACAUUCUCAUCUUUCGAUCCCACAGUAUUUUGAAUUGGCAAGGACUCAUGCAGAACGUUUUAUCUUGCCGAGUGGAGAAUUCUAUUUCAUGAAUAUUCUCAUGAGAAUAGCUGGGAUCGUGAAAGGAUCUUAUACUACUCCUGUUGACUUUGAUAACGCUCCGUCGUGGUCUUUAUUAUUAUUAUUAUUAUUAGUUGAAGCAAUCCCUGCCUCCAGAUUUGAGUGUGUAACAAACAUUGUUUUAUUAACAACUUAAUAAAACAAAACAAACUACUAAUUAUUCACCAAACCAUUAAAUAAUUGAUAUAUAAGUUGAAAUUCCCGUCCUUGCAUAGCCUCCGUUGCAUUGGUUGAAAAUAAAAAUUAACAUUAUUUUCAAGAAUGUCGGCAUGAAAAGUGUGGUCAAUUAGAUUCAUGUUACAAUCAGAGAGUAAUUUUACCUCUUUGAGUUAUCGGUCUCCCUCUACCGAAAACGUAAUCAGGUAAACCUUUUUCCCCAAUCCUUUCUACAAAGUUUUAGCAUAGUCAAGAGGAGUUAAUGUUGUCAACUUCUGUUUUUGUUUCAGUGUAUGCUUUUGGCAUUACUUGGAAACUUAGUUUCAAUAUCAGAAGGUUUACCAAGUAAAUUGCAGCUUUUAAUUUGGAAUUAAUUUGCUUGUAUAUAUAAUU